UACGUAGGGGGCAAGCGUUGUCCGGAUUUAUUGGGCGUAAAGAGCGUGUAGGCGGCUGGGUAGGUCCGCUGUGAAAACUCGAGGCUUAACCUCGAGACGUCGGUGGAAACCAUCCAGCUAGAGUCCGGAAGAGGAGAGUGGAAUUCCUGGUGUAGCGGUGAAAUGCGCAGAUAUCAGGAAGAACACCCGUGGCGAAAGCGGUCCGCUGGCCCUCUACUGACGCUGAGGCGCGAAAGCCAGGGGAGCAAACGGG
rnacentral:rRNA from 1 species